ACAAAGGACCGCAUACUAAAUUUAUUUUUGUUUUAGAGUAUAAGUCCAGGUUUGGUGAUAACUGAAAUACACGAAAAAGCUCAAUUGACAGGGAAAGAAAUUCAAUGGAUACGAAACGAGCCAAUAUUAAACGCUGAUGAUGUAGCUGACGCCGUUUCGUACGUUUUAGGAACACCUCCUCACGUUCAAAUUCAAGAAUUAACAAUAACUCCCAUCGGAGAAAGAAUUUGAUUCUUUUUAAAUUAGUUUGUAGAAAAUUCUGGUUACAAACGUGUUGCAUACAGUAAUUACAUGUCGUUUUAAACAAUUUA